GCAGUCGAACGGCAGCAUGAUCUAGCUUGCUAGAUUGAUGGCGAGUGGCGAACGGGUGAGUAAUACAUCGGAACGUGCCCUGUAGUGGGGGAUAACUAGUCGAAAGAUUAGCUAAUACCGCAUACGACCUGAGGGUGAAAGUGGGGGACCGCAAGGCCUCAUGCUAUAGGAGCGGCCGAUGUCUGAUUAGCUAGUUGGUGAGGUAAAGGCUCACCAAGGCGACGAUCAGUAGCUGGUCUGAGAGGACGAUCAGCCACACUGGGACUGAGACACGGCCCAGACUCAUACGGGAGGCAGCAGUGGGGAAUUUUGGACAAUGGGGGCAACCCUGAUCCAGCAAUGCCGCGUGUGUGAAGAAGGCCUUCGGGUUGUAAAGCACUUUUGUCCGGAAAGAAAUCGCACUUACUAAUAUUAGGUGUGGAUGACGGUACCGGAAGAAUAAGGACCGGCUAACUACGUGCCAGCAGCCGCGGUAAUACGUAGGGUCCAAGCGUUAAUCGGAAUUACUGGGCGUAAAGCGUGCGCAGGCGGUUGUGCAAGACCGAUGUGAAAUCCCCGGGCUUAACCUGGGAAUUGCAUUGGUGACUGCACGGCUAGAGUGUGUCAGAGGGGGGUAGAAUUCCACGUGUAGCAGUGAAAUGCGUAGAGAUGUGGAGGAAUACCGAUGGCGAAGGCAGCCCCCUGGGAUAACACUGACGCUCAUGCACGAAAGCGUGGGGAGCAAACAGGAUUAGAUACCCUGGUAGUCCACGCCCUAAACGAUGUCAACUAGUUGUUGGGGAUUCAUUUCCUUAGUAACGUAGCUAACGCGUGAAGUUGACCGCCUGGGGAGUACGGUCGCAAGAUUAAAACUCAAAGGAAUUGACGGGGACCCGCACAAGCGGUGGAUGAUGUGGAUUAAUUCGAUGCAACGCGAAAAACCUUACCUACCCUUGACAUGCCACUAACGAAGCAGAGAUGCAUUAGGUGCUCGAAAGAGAAAGUGGACACAGGUGCUGCAUGGCUGUCGUCAGCUCGUGUCGUGAGAUGUUGGGUUAAGUCCCGCAACGAGCGCAACCCUUGUCUCUAGUUGCUACGAAAGGGCACUCUAGAGAGACUGCCGGUGACAAACCGGAGGAAGGUGGGGAUGACGUCAAGUCCUCAUGGCCCUUAUGGGUAGGGCUUCACACGUCAUACAAUGGUGCAUACAGAGGGUUGCCAAGCCGCGAGGUGGAGCUAAUCCCAGAAAAUGCAUCGUAGUCCGGAUCGUAGUCUGCAACUCGACUACGGAAGCUGAAUCG
rnacentral:rRNA from 1 species